GCAUGUGUGUGCAUGCCCUGUUAUCCCAACAAAUGGUGCAAAUGGUAGGUUAUAUCUGUUUGUCAUGUACGUAGUGUCAAAGCUCACACAUUCACCAUAUUCUGCAUACCACUUUAGUGAUAUUCCUUCCCUCCAGAAAAGAUUUUUGACCUUCAUGUCAUUGUCCACUUGGAACCUGUAGUAGAAUGUUGGAUCUUCUGCUUUUCUUUUUCUGAAGUAGUCCAUUGCUUGUGUCAUGUCAUUACCUGUAACCUCUCUGUUAAUUUUUGUUCUCAGAUUUUGCACAUCUUUUGUCUUGUAUGGCAGUGCUGUCAAUCCUCCUCUCAGGUAAGACAGGAUAGCUAUCAUUUUUCUUGUAGGUAUAUUGUUGUCAUUGAGUGUCCUUAUUAUCCCUUUCUCCAUAUCUGUCAUGUAUUUUUUCCCACUGAACAACUGAUUUCUCCUCUAUGGGCUGAGCUCAUGGUUGUGGUCUAAAUCAAGUCUAAUAAUUUUCCAGACCCCCAAUGUUUCCUUAACCACCAUCACACACUUGCAGUCUGUCUUGACCUGUACAUUUGUUUUUCUUUUGGUCUUGUCCUUCCUAUUGCCAUCCUCCAUCAUAGUUUCUUCUGUGUUUUCUUCUUCAGAUUUCUUUUCUUGCUUCCCAUAGCGAUGACAUUUCAUUUCUUGCUUGUAUAUCUCCUUGUUCCUGUUCUUUGCUGAUGUUCUAGCUACAUGUGAAACAACUACUUGAAAUCCAGCUAGAAACCCAUAAAAUGAGAAGAAAUGAUUGGCAUCAUCUCUGCUUUUAAAUUCUUGUCCAAUCUGAGGUGUGUAUUUGCUGUCUAUGUCCGCAUUGUUCCCUUCUGCUGCAGCUUGCUGCUCACUCUUUAGAAAUUCUUCUAUUUCCUCCUCUGUCAGUGGUUGGCUGCCAUUUGUAUCAUUUUCAUCAUGCUGUCCUUCAUUUAUCUGCAUUGAUGUAGUUGAUGUUUCAUCCUGGGCAUUUCCACCUGCAUGCAGCUGAUAUGAAUUUUUUUCAGUUCCAGUUUUUUGUCUUAUAUCUUAUCUUAACAAGCUCAUUAUUUGUACCCUAUAUUAUAUUAUAUGAUUAUAAGUUGCAUUACCUCUUGUAAACUGAUUGUGCUGAAAAUUUCAUGUUGACAUACUCCAUCAUCCAUUGUUAUGUCAUUUUCCUCUUCCUCAUGUCUCCCCGUCUGAUCUCUCUGAAAUAGUCAGGUUCAUUAACUUAUUUCCAUUGUGGCAGUAAUUAAUUUUUAUAAAACAUAGACAUUAUUUAUCUAAUUUUAACCUGAAAACUUGCCAUGCCGUCUAUGUUUGGGGCCAUCUCUUUAUCUUCUCCUUGACUCUGCAUUGUGGUUAUCCUCAUUGACUCUUCAUCCUGUGUCUCAUUCAUGUCAUUGUUAUUUGAUCCAUUUGUGCUACUCUGUAUCUGCAAAUUCUGCAUGUCACAUUUUUUUGUGCACAUUAACAAUAUAUAGUAUUAAUAGAAUAUGUGAUAUAUUUAUUUCCUUUGUUUCUUACCCGUGAUACAUGUUUGCCUUUCAGCAUCUCCAAAUAUUGUUGAUACUCAUCCUGAUCAGAUACAUACAGUAAACUUAAGUUAAACUUACAGUCUACAUUUGCAAGAAUUUUAAUAAAUCUACACUGUCAUUUCAUUCGCAAACAUCUUUUUCAUUUGUUUUGUACCUGGCUAUUGGUUAGAGAGCUUUCAUCUUCUUGUGAUAGUUUGAUCUGAUCCAUCAACAGUCCUGUGUAGAAUCCCUGAAAUCAUAUAUAUGUUAAUUUAUAGAUCUUGUUAAUUUUUUUCUUCAGAUUUGUUGUUUCUAUCUGUUUUGGAUCAAUCAAGCAGGAUAUACAUGCAUGAAUGAAAAGAUAAGUUGUUCUUUCUUACCUGCCCAAGCUGUUGGUUUGUGUUUGUUAAUUGCAAACUGUUUGCAUUGAUGAUGCUGUCUAGUUCAUCUGUCCAUGUUUGAUUCAAAAGCCCUGUUGAACUUAAUUCAUAAUUGAACAUUGGAAAUCUAUCUGUAUGCUGACCUUGAUUUCCACUGUCUUUGGUCCAUGUUCCUGUUCCCGUUCCAAUUUCCUGUAAUCAAACAUGAUAAAAUUAGACAUGUUUCUAAUCUGUUAUGAUCAGAUCCUAUAUUCUCUUUUUCAUAACCACACUAGAUCUACUUGUUUCUUUUCCAUAUUUUUCAAGAUUCAACAGAUAGUCUACUUACUUCAUACUGGUAGUUGCUUUGGCUUGAUGAAAUCCUCAAUUCUGCAGGGAAUUGCAUCAACUGGUUUUGUUGAUUUGGCCCCUCUCCAGAUCUAUCUGCUUCAUCCCCAUCUUUCUCUUUCAUCUGGACAGCAGAUCCAGUUUUUUGACGCCUGGAUAGCAGAGCACGAGACGUGCUCCUCCUUUGUGUACGUGGAAAAGAUAAUUUGACUACAAGGAGUACGGUGUCAAGAAACUUCUACUUUUUUGAUCAUGGAAGGCCUCAACAAGUUAUCUGAGCUUAAGCCAGAUGCUUUUAGGAGGGAUCUUGUUCUCAUGCGGCGUGAAAAUUUCACUUAUCUUGGAAUUGAAGAAGGCUCUCAGACAUGUCUAGUUUUGGCAUGGUCAAAGGAAACCAAUCAAACUGAUCGGCAUAUGCUGACUGUUCGUGCUUUGCAGCGCCUUGUUGGAUCAAAGCAAGUUCCUAACUAUCGCAUUGCUCCCGAUCCUUCCCGUAACUUUGGUUUUAUUUUGUGCCCUGACGAGGACAAGGCCGAAAGACUUCGUGGGCACUAUGCCAGAGUUGGCAAUGAGAAGAUCUUUUUUGAUAUUGUCUCUAGUGUGGGGUACAUGCCUUAUCUUGAUGAUGUCAACCUGCAUCCAAGAGUGUCCAAGAUGAUUUGAGAUGAAGCUAUGAAUUGCUGGCCCUACAGCCCUGCAAACUUUGAUGCCUUAUCUAGUAGUUUUAUAUUUAGUUGUUCAAACUAUGAUCUUUUGUAAUAUGAAUGAUCUACUAUUGCACUUUUUAAAUUAUUAGUUAAAACUCUGAUGCCA